rnacentral:rRNA from 1 species
UUUAACUGAAGAGUUUGAUCAUGGCUCAGAUUGAACGCUGGCGGCAGGCUUAACACAUGCAAGUCGAGCGGGGGAAGGUAGCUUGCUACUGGACC